CAGAGAAAUCUAAAGAAGGUCGCGGUUCGAGUUGACACCGUUGAAGUCGAGUCGGUGUUGGGUUCGUAAUUUUGCUGCGACGUGCGUCACCCUUUUGGAGCGCUCUUCUUCGCUUCUCCGCUUCGCCGCCUGGCUUACGGAUAGGGUUGGGUUCCCAAAACCCUACCGCGCGGUACCGGCGAAGGCGAUAUGAUCCGACGAAUAGGUGCGCACCAAGCAUUCGAUGAAAUGCCUACCACCCUUCGGUGCUCAAUGGUGUGAAAAGAUUUCCUGUCUAAUAUACUGCAGACGUUCUUCCAGUUACAAGAACGAGCACGAGGCCGGCAUCGAGCUUGCAGAUGAAUCUUCCUCUCUGUUCACCUCUGAGACUAACCCCGACGGCUCGGUUCCCACCGUCGAACACAUUGAGGGCUACUUGCUCCGUCUCCGGUUCGACGAAGAAGAACAGAGUCAUCGUGAUCUCCGGCCCCACUGGAGCGGGAAAGAGUAGGCUCGCAUUAGAGCGCUGAUUCCGUGCAAGUGUACCGUAUGAUAAUUAAACUGGUACCUACGUUACUACA